rnacentral:rRNA from 1 species
UGGGGAAUAUUGGGCAAUGGGCGCAAGCCUGACCCAGCAACGCCGCGUGAAGGAAGAAGGCUUUCGGGUUGUAAACUUCUUUUCUAAGGGACGAAGGAAGUGACGGUACCUUAGGAAUAGGCCACGGCUAACUACGUGCCAGCAGCCGCGGUAAUACGUAGGUGGCAAGCGUUAUCCGGAUUUAUUGGGUGUAAAGGGCGUGUAGGCGGGAGUGCAAGUCAGAUGUGAAAACUAUGGGCUCAACCCAUAGCCUGCAUUUGAAACUGUUUUCUUGAGUACUGGAGAGGCAGACGGAAUUCCUAGUGUAGCGGUGAAAUGCGUAGAUAUUAGGAGGAACACCAGUGGCGAAGGCGGUCUGCUGGACAGCAACUGACGCUGAGGCGCGAAAGCGUGGGGAGCAAACAGGAUUAGAUACCC